UGGAUAAUGAUACGUUUACACCCCUGUACCACUCAUUUACCACCCAUUCCACGUGUCUUGUUUAUUUUUUUUUUCAACUCUGUUGCUGCCGGUUACUUUUUACAAAUUUUCUCUUUGUAAUGAUGUGAUUUUCUUGCUUGUGUCAGACUACUUCUGCCGUAUAGAAUAAAAUUUCAUUUUGAAAUUCAAAUCUCCCACGGUUUAUUUUCAUUUUCGUUGGGCUCUCACUAACGCAGGCUAAGAACGAACAUCCCAGCGUCCUCUCCCCUUCAAGUCGCGACUCUUGCGGUGUGGCCAUCAGACAACGGCGCCUUCAAAGGUCAAUAAAGGAGAUAGAAGGAAGAGGACAUCAAGUACAAAUUCAUAAUGAAGCACACAAAAUGAAGUCCAAACCAUCUUUGAUAUUUUGCUGGUUUUUUGUCAAAAAUAUCGUAUAUGAUGUUGGACUUUGAUUACUAGUGGCUAUAUGGCCUUGUUAUCCAAGUUCCUUAGUGACGCCUGUAUGGCCUUGUUUUUUUAGCUUGAUGUGUGUCUCACUGACAAAAGUAGUAUUUAUUCUCUUGUUCUGUUUUUUUGCCCUGACAGUUUCUCUUUGAUGCCAAAUUCAAUAUGUAUGGUAUUUGACAAAAAUGAGAUGAGGAUUAUGCUUAUUGUA